AUUUUAUGUUUAUGUUGUAAUGUGGGUGCAUAGCUCAGCUGGAUAGAGCAACGCCCUUCUAAGGCGUGUGUCCGGGGUUCGAAUCCCUGUGCGCUCACCACAUAUAUUGGGGAUUAGCCAAGUCGGUAAGGCACAUGACUUUGACUCAUGUAUGCGUAGGUUCGAGUCCUGCAUCCCCAGCCAAAUGAUGUAUUACUAAGCUAUAUUUGAACUAUUUUUAUUUUAAAUAUAGUUAGGUUCAAUUUUAGAAUAAGUUUAAGUAUCCGAAUGUGGAGAGGUGUCCGAGUGGUUUAAGGAGCUGGUCUUGAAAACCAGUGACUUCGAAAGGGGCCGUGGGUUCGAAUCCCACCCUCUCCGCCAAAUGCCCAGAUAGCUCAGUCGGUAGAGCAGGGGACUGAAAAUCCCCGUGUCGGUGGUUCGAUUCCGCCUCUGGGCACCAAAAUAUGGCGGUAUAGCUUAGUUGGCUAGAGCGUUCGGUUCAUACCCGAAAGGUCAUAGGUUCGACUCCUAUUACCGCUACUAAAAUUUAAUGUGGGCCAUUAGCUCAGUUGGUUAGAGCGCCCGGCUCAUAACCGGUAGGUCUGGGGUUCGAGUCCCUGAUGGCCCACCACAUUAAAUUAAUUAAUAUAAAUUCGAGGUGUAGCGCAGUUUGGUAGCGCACAUGGUUUGGGACCAUGGGGCCGGGGGUUCGAGUCCCUUCACCUCGACCAAUAUAAGGUGGGUAUAGCUCAGUUGGUUAGAGCGCCAGAUUGUGGCUCUGGAGGUCGUGAGUUCGACUCUCAUUAUCCACCCCAAUUCAUAUGGUCUAUUAGCUCAGUCGGUAGAGCACCUGACUUUUAAUCAGGGUGUCCCGCGUUCGAGUCGCGGAUAGAUCACCAAAAAGGUGGCGACAUAGCCAAGUGGUAAGGCAGUGGACUGCAACUCCUUGAUCCCCAGUUCGAAUCUGGGUGUCGCCUCCAAAAUAUUCCAAGGUAGCUCAACGGUGGAGCAACCGGCUGUUAACCGGUAGGCUGUGGGUUCGAGCCCCACCCUUGGAGCCAAAAAAGCCGAAGUGGCGGAACUGGCAGACGCACAGGACUUAAAAUCCUGCGGGACUUACCUCUCGUACCGGUUCGAUUCCGGUCUUCGGCACUUAUAAAACAAUAUCGCGGAGUGGAGCAGUUGGCAGCUCGUCGGGCUCAUAACCCGAAGGUCGUAGGUUCAAGUCCUGCCUCCGCAACCAUUAAAAUGGCUCGUUGGUCAAGAGGUUAAGACACCGCCCUUUCACGGCGGUAACAGGGGUUCAAUUCCCCUACGAGUCACCAAUUAAAUAUGCGGGUGUAGCUCAAUGGUAGAGUUCUGGCCUUCCAAGCCAGCUGUGAGGGUUCGAUCCCCUUCACCCGCUCCAAAAAUGGGACCAUAGCUCAGCUGGGAGAGCACCUGCCUUACAAGCAGGGGGUCACAGGUUCGAGCCCUGUUGGUCCCACCAUUUGCGGCCUGGUAGUUCAGUUGGUUAGAAUGCCAGCCUGUCACGCUGGAGGUCGAGGGUUCGANNNNNNNNNNNNNNNNNNNNNNNNNNNNNNNNNNNNNNNNNGUAGCGCAGUUUGGUAGCGCACAUGGUUUGGGACCNCUGUUUACCAAAAACAUAGGUUUCUGCUAAGUCGCAAGACGAUGUAUAGGAGCUGACGCCUGCCCGGUGCUGGAAGGUUAAGGGGAUCUGUUAGAGCAAUCGAAGCAGUGAACUUAAGCCCCAGUAAACGGCGGCCGUAACUAUAACGGUCCUAAGGUAGCGAAAUUCCUUGUCGGGUAAGUUCCGACCCGCACGAAAGGCGUAACGAUUUGGGCACUGUCUCAACAACAGACUCGGUGAAAUUGUAAUUCCGGUGAAGAUGCCGGAUACCUGCGACAGGACGGAAAGACCCCAUGGAGCUUUACUGUAGCUUGACAUUGGGUCUUGGUACUACAUGUACAGGAUAGGUGGGAGGCUUUGAAACCAGGACGCCAGUUUUGGCGGAGCCAUCCUUGGGAUACCACCCUUGUAGUACUGGGACUCUAACCAUAGGCCAUGAAUCUGGUCUUGGGACACUGUCAGGUGGGCAGUUUGACUGGGGCGGUCGCCUCCCAAAAGGUAACGGAGGCGCUCAAAGGUUCUCUCAGUACGGUCGGAAAUCGUACGUAGAGUGUAAAGGCAAAAGAGAGCUUGAUUGCAAGACAUACAGGUCGAGCAAGGAUGAAAAUCGGACUUAGUGAUCCGGUGGUUCUGCGUGGAAGGGCCAUCGCUCAACGGAUAAAAGCUACCCUGGGGAUAACAGGCUUAUCUCCCCCAAGAGUCCACAUCGACGGGGAGGUUUGGCACCUCGAUGUCGGCUCAUCACAUCCUGGGGCUGUAGUAGGUCCCAAGGGUUGGGCUGUUCGCCCAUUAAAGUGGUACGCGAGCUGGGUUCAGAACGUCGUGAGACAGUUCGGUCCCUAUCCGUCGCAGGCGUAGGAAAUUUGAGAAGACCUGUCCUUAGUACGAGAGGACCGGGAUGGACGUACCUCUGGUGUACCAGUUGUCCUGCCAAGGGCAUGGCUGGGUAGCUAUGUACGGAAUGGAUAAGCGCUGAAAGCAUCUAAGCGCGAAGCCAACUUCAAGAUAAGAUUUCCCACCGCAAGGGUAAGACCCCAGAAAGACUAUCUGGUUGAUAGGUCGAAGGUGUAAGUGCAGUAAUGUAUUUAGCUUAUCGAUACUAAUAGGUCGAGGACUUGACCAA
rnacentral:rRNA from 1 species